rnacentral:misc_RNA from 1 species
CUUGGUCAUUUAGAGGGAUUUAAAGUCGUAACAAGGUGUUCGUCCGUAGGUGAACCUACUGAAGGAUCAUUUGGUAUUCAUUUACGCAUGAAAACCAGCCGAACCACAAACUGUGUACUGUCUUUCGGCUUUAAUGCCUGAGGCUGUAACUGCGUGGGCAGGCCCAAGCACUAACGGACUUUGAGCCGUCAGCCCUAUAAUCAUUGACUGUGACUGAAACAUCUUUAAUCAUUAAAGACAACUUUUAGCAAUGGAUCUCUAGGCUCUC